GAUGAACGCUGGCGGCGUGCCUAAUACAUGCAAGUCGAGCGAACGGACGAGGAGCUUGCUCCUCUGACGUUAGCGGCGGACGGGUGAGUAACACGUGGAUAACCUACCUAUAAGACUGGGAUAACUUCGGGAAACCGGAGCUAAUACCGGAUAAUAUAUUGAACCGCAUGGUUCAAUAGUGAAAGACGGUUUUGCUGUCACUUAUAGAUGGAUCCGCGCCGCAUUAGCUAGUUGGUAAGGUAACGGCUUACCAAGGCAACGAUGCGUAGCCGACCUGAGAGGGUGAUCGGCCACACUGGAACUGAGACACGGUCCAGACUCCUACGGGAGGCAGCAGUAGGGAAUCUUCCGCAAAGGGCGAAAGCCUGACGGAGCAACGCCGCGUGAGUGAUGAAGGUCUUCGGAUCGUAAAACUCUGUUAUUAGGGAAGAACAAAUGUGUAAGUAACUAUGCACGUCUUGACGGUACCUAAUCAGAAAGCCACGGCUAACUACGUG
rnacentral:rRNA from 1 species